AAAUUAUACAGUAUAUAAAAUAGGUGACAGUGCCCUCUUGAGGAUGCUACUGAAAUUUGGCACCAGCUACCUAUUCAAGAAUGCUGCAGGUAAAAUUGACAUUCUUUCAUGUAUCAUAGAAUCACUGUGCUUCAUUUUUACAAU